ensembl:misc_RNA Metazoa_SRP Metazoan signal recognition particle RNA
GCCAGGCAUGGUGGCAUGUGCCUGUGCUCCCAGCUACUUGGGAGGUUGAGGUGGGAGGAUCGUUUGAGCCCAGGAGUUCUGGGCUGUAAUGCACUAUGUCGAUUGGGUGUCUUCACUAGGUUCAGCAUCAAUAUGGUGACCUCCCAGGAGCGAGAACCACCAAGUUGCCUAAGGAGGGGUGAACCAGCCCAGGUCAGAAACAGCUCAAAACUCCCGUGCUGAUCAAUAGUGGGAUCACGCCUGUGAAUAGCCACUGCAUUCCAGCCUGGGCAACAUAGCGAGAUCCCGUCUCUU